AUUGAACGCUGGCGGCAUGCCUUACACAUGCAAGUCGAACGGCAGCACGGGAGCAAUCCUGGUGGCGAGUGGCGAACGGGUGAGUAAAGUAUCGGAACGUGCCCAGUCGUGGGGGAUAACGUAGCGAAAGUUACGCUAAUACCGCAUACGAUCUAUGGAUGAAAGCGGGGGAUCGCAAGACCUCGCGCGAUUGGAGCGGCCGAUAUCAGAUUAGGUAGUUGGUGGGGAAAAGGCUCACCAAGCCGAGAAUCUGUAGCUGGUCUGAGAGGACGACCGGCCACACUGAGACUGAGACACGGCCCAGACUCCUACGGGAGGCAGCAGUGGGGAAUUUUGGACAAUGGGCGAAAGCCUGAUCCAGCCAUGCCGCGUGCAGGAUGAAGGCCCUCGGGUUGUAAACUGCUUUUGUACGGAACGAAAAGGUUUGGCCUAAUAAGCUGAGCUCAUGACGGUACCGUAAGAAUAAGCACCGGCUAACUACGUGCCAGCCGCCGCAGUAA
rnacentral:rRNA from 1 species